rnacentral:lncRNA from 1 species
UAAAUCCAGAUAUCUCUGCUAAUGCAUGCAGCUAGACAAGGCAUUCAGCUUCAAGGUUUACGUAUCAAAUCACCAAAUGCUCCAGGGAACAGCCUACAAGCUGGGAGGGUGACCAGGGCUGGUAACGAUGAUAAAGGCAAUGCUUGGCUAAUCCAUUCCCAGCAGUUAUUUCUUCUGGAUAUAUUCUUCAGUUUACAGACAUUUGAAUCAGCAUUUUAAGCCCGCUCCUCAUGUCUUUUCUCCUCAAAAUGCUUUUGAAUGUGAUGGGCAGUACAUGAUCGGAAAACAGAAACUUUGUGAUUUUACAUGAGAAAAAGACUGAAUGAUGGUCAUUGACAAUAUUAUUAUUCUCGAUGAUAAGGAGGCUAAAAAGGAAGCCACCCAAUUUUUAUUAAUUUAAGGAAGAGAAUGUACAAAAAGAUGAUCUGUUUCUAGUUGGAGCAGUCACAAAAAGAUUUACAUGUCUCUGAACUUUCACAAGAACAAAGGAAAGGAUUUUGCUCUACUACAAGGUAUGCCCUGUUUAUCAACUGAUAUGAGAAAAUGAAAGAAGCAUAGACUGUUUAUUCACAAAGCAGAAUAUAGUAGGAAGCCUUUUUUUAAAAAAAAGAAAAUAUUUAUGUGACAACAGAAAUAAAAUUGAACAAGGGGUAUAAGACCAGGAUGCAAUUUUAACAUGCUUUAAAAAAAUAAUCAGAUGAAUUUUAUUAACGUAAAACUUAAUAUGUUUUUUUGAAUCACAUGUUCCUACCCUUUACUGACAGAUGAUGGCCAUGAAGUUUUAACGGAUGUUCUAACCAGCUUUAAG